rnacentral:lncRNA from 1 species
ACCUGGCGUUCUCCAGGUCCGAGGCCAAGCCCCGACGAACCCCCACCCCCACCCCCACCAAUAUUUCAGCCACGGCCUCCUCCUCCAGCCCUCAACUCUUCUCCCUCCAGCUCCCGCCCGGCCCUUCACAGGUCACUGACUCUUUCCGGCAUCCGCCCCUCGUUGCGCCCGCCCCUGGCAGCGGUCACCAAGGCGCCGCGCCAGCCGACGCAGGCAGCCGCCGGGUGAAGUACGCAGGUACCGCAGGUACCCGGCGCCCGCCCGAUUUCAGGGCAAGUUACUGUUUUCAGAAUCCAAGGGGAAUCUAACACCUAAACAAUGCCAAGAGAAAAGGAAGGAAAACGAAAAACUAAAGGAGCACUCCUGCCCAUCAUUCCAACUCUUAAAAAGUUCCUGAAAACGUAUGAGAAGUAUUGUGCACAGACUCAGACGUCUGUGUGUCCAGCCAUCAAAAGGGACUUGAAAACCAGCAUCAAUAAUGAACAGAUUCUCAGGAAGUUUGUACUUGUAAGACCUGAUGACUCCCCGCCAGGCAUCCUACCAAUUUCCUUGGAACCUUUGCUCAUGACAGUUCAGGAUGAGUGUUUCACUCUGGGGAGAGAGAUCUGCAUUUGGGGCCUUCAACUGAGCAACCCAGAGAUGGCCAGACUCGCUUUGCUUUUGGAAUCAAAGGGGUGCACCACCUGCCCAUUUACCACCCUGGAACUCAUUGAUUGCAAGAUGGAUCUGUGGUCCCUGGGGAGACUUGGGAAGGCUCUUCAGUCCAGCAGUUUGCAAACUCUUGUUCUUGAUUACUGCAAAUUUGGAAAUGAAGAAAUUGAGAGGAUUUUCUCAGGCCUGGAGAACAACCAAAGGCUUCAAGUCCUCAGCUUACGUUACUGUGGUCUGGGGCCACAGAUUGGGCCAAGGCUGGGCUCUAUCAUAUGCCAGAGUGCCAUUUGUGAGCUGCACCUUGAUGGCAAUUACUUGCAGUGUUCUGGAGCUCUGGAUCUCCUCAGACCCGUAGCAGAGUAUGCAGAGAUGCAGGGGAAAGACCAGCCAGCCACUUGCUCACCAGACCCUAGGCAUCCCCCUCAGCUGCUCCAAGCUAAGCAGAGAGGAAGUUCAACUUUGAACCAGAUUACAAAGUCAUCUGGAGCUCUAACAGUGAAAACUACUUCAGGAAAGAAGAGAAAAAAAGGAAUCAAGAAAAAACUUAAAAAUUUGGAAGUUGGACCUUGGUUAGUGAAGUUGUAUUUGGCAGAUAAUGGCAUAGAUGGAAAAGGAAAAGAAGGAGAAAAUAACUUGCUGGAAUUCACUCAAAUUUUAACAUGCCUGAUCAAAUACUCUGCCCAUUUAAGGGAGAUUGACCUUGGAAACAAUGUCCUGGGAGAAAUGGCUGCUGCUGACAUUCUUGAAGCACUGAGAGCCAGAAAGACAGGUAAACUUCCAGUUUUAAAAGUUACAGUAACUCCCCAGAUCUCUUCAGAUACCUUCAUGUCUAUUUGGGAAAAUAGCAAGAAAUCAAGUACUACCCAUAAAAAGAGGAAAAAGGCUAGAAACUGAAUAUGGAUGCCAUAUAGCCAUAUGGAUUUUAUCUAUUUCCAUGACCUACCACACAUGCCUGGAAAGAUAUUGUUUGUUCUAUAAUAAUAUUUUUCACUAUAACCAAGCCCCUUUCAAGUUGUAAGAUUUGAUAAGACUCCUUAAUGAAAGUUCAAAGUAGUGUUAGUCCUACCAUGCUUGUCAUUUUCUAAAAUGUUGACUUUAUAAAUAAGCCUUGGUAAAAAUAAGUGGGAUUCUUCUCUGAAGCUUGUUCUCUUGUGCGUGUGAAAUUUAUAGUUUGAAGGAAGUCAUGAUCUUUAAGAAAGAAAGACUUGUCUUUCAUAAAUAUAUCUAUGGUUGGGAAAAAUAGGGAUUUUGGGGGAAAUAACCACUUUCUAAAAGGCAACAACCCUAACAAUGGGGAUCUUCCCCAAAUGAGGAAAAUUCUGAUCACUCUACCCUCCACACUCUGUAAGAUUUCAAUAGCUCCAAAGGAAAUGGAAGCAGUAUCCUGAUCAAUGCAUAGAUGAUAAAUUGAAUUAGGUAAAUUGUAUACAGUACAGGGAUAAAAAGCAUGGGCUAGGCAGUUAGAUGAACCAGAAUUCUCUGUGGAAUCCUGCUGCUUUCCGGGUGACCUUGAGCAAGUCAGUUAACCUCCAGGUACCUAAACUUCUCCUCUGUAAGAUACAGAUAAGAAUGGUACCUAUCAGAGUUCCCUUGUGGUAGAGCAGGUUAAAGAUCUGGCAUUGUCACUGCAGCAGUUCUGGUGGCUGAGGACUUAAGACUUCAUUUUGAAGUUAUAAAAACAAACCCUGUCAUUCAUCCAACAUAUAAAAUGUAACAAGUGCUAGGAAGUUAGUGGAACCCAACUAACUGAGGAGGUGAGGUUGGGUACAGAAAAUUGUGUCCACUCUUGCAGAUUAGCAUCUAACAAGGAAGAUAAGAUCCUCAUACAUUAAAAGUAAAAAACAUUAGAGCAUGAGUUGAAAUAGUAUAAAUCCUUAGGGUAAGGAAGCCUACAGAGUAGUGACAUCAAUUUAACAAGUCUCCAGAACUUAUAUAUCCAAUGUGUGAGCCCUCCUGAGAAAUUGUUCUUGCUCAAAAACCAAAACAAAACAAACUUUUUUAAAGAUUUCCCACUGACAUCCACUGGGUAGAAGUGUAAAAUCCGUGUGCUUAUUUAGGGGUCUUUUGGCAAUGUCUAUCAAAAUGAAAAAUACAUAGCCUUGACUCAAACAUUCUACUUCUAGAAAUUUAUUUUACAGAUAUACCUCACACAUAUGCAAAGAAAUGUGUAUAAAGAUGUUCACUGCAGCAUUGUUCAUUGCACAGUGGAAACAGCUACAUGUCUCAAAGGGUUCUCCAGGACAUAAACCACAGGAAAUACACAUGGUGGAAAACUACCACACAGCCAUUAGGAAGAAUAAUGUGGAUAUGGAAGUGCUUAUAUGGAGAGAUGUCCUAGUCAUACUAUUAAAGAUAAAGAAAAGCCCAGAUAAGAGUAUAUGUGAAUUUUUCAUAUUAAAAAUGAACUAAGGGAGUUCCCAUUGUAGCGCAGUGGUUAAUGAAUCCGACUAGGAACCAUGAGGUUGAGGGUUCUAUCCCUGCCCUCGCCCAGUGGGUUAAGGAUCUGGCGUUGCCGUGAGCUGUGGUGUAGGUCACAGACUCGGCUCGGAUCCCACAUUGCUGUGGCUCUGGCAUAGGCCAGCGGCCGCAGCUCCUAUUAGACCCCUAGCCUGGGAACCUCCACAUGCCGCUGGAGCGGCCCUAGAAAAGGCAAAAAGACAAAAAAAAAAAAAAAUUAAAAAUGAAUUGAUACAACAUGAAUCAGCAAUUUCACUUCUGGGUUUAUAUCAGAAAGAAUUGAAAGCAGGAUCAUGAAGAGAUAAUUGUACACCCAUGUUCAUAAAAGCGUUAUUUAUAAUAAUCAAAUGGUGGAGGCAACCUAUGGAUCUAUCGAUGAAUGAACACACACACACACACAAAAGAAUAUCACUUAGCCUUAAAAAGUAAGGAAAUUCUGACACAUGCUACAUACAGCAUGAAAGAACCUGGAGGACUUUAUGCUAUGUGAAGUAAACCAGUCACAAAAAAGACAGAUAUUGUACAAUUCCAAUUAUAUGAGAUAUUUAGAGUAGUCAAACUCAGAAACAGAAAGGAGCAUGGUGGCUGGAGGGAGAAGAGGGAGAUGGAGAGUUGUUUAAUGGGUAUACUUCCAGUUUUGGAAGGUGAAAAAGCUCUGGAAAUUGGUUGAUAACAAUGUGAAUGUGCUUGAUACUACUGAAUUCUACACUUUAAAAUUGUUAGGAUGGUAAAUUUUAUGUUAUGUGUAUUUUUACCACAAUUUUAAAAAUUCAAGUGAGUUGAUGUGCUCUGUGUUUGUUAGUACAUACAGAGCAAUUUCUGGAGACUCUAUUGACAGUGCUUGCUUUUUUUCCCACUGAAUACUCAUUUUCCUAUUUUAAAGGUCUUAUCACUUAUGAGCUAUCAAUUUGUAAAAACUCAAAAUUGUUUGAUAAUCAUCAGUAACAGCACUGUUUGGUUGUUAUGUGACCUAGUGCCAAAAGAGUGGAAGAAACACAAUAAGCGCUAUGAUUUUUCUGGGAGGAAUGCAUAAAUAGUAGCAAAGAGUGGUCAGUAAGGACACGAAAAUUAGUUUUCCUCACAGCAAACGCAAUGUAGUUAGAGCAGACAGAGGGAGGUUCUGACCACUUCCAGAGAUGUUAAAUGGAGUCGGGGGAAGAGAAGAGUCUAAGGUGUCUUUGGAUGGCUGAAUCAACUAAUCUGAUGAGGGUCUCAGAGAGGAGUGCUUGGAGAUAACAUUAGAAAGGUAGGUUGGGGCCAUACUGUGGCAGGAUUUAAAGGACCAGCUGGGACAUUUAGAUUUUGUUCUGAUGAUAAUGGAGAGCCAUGGAACAUUUUGAGCAGGCUAGUGUCAGGUGGAAAGGGGAAUCUAAGCAGAUUAAACAGGCACUUUAGAUUGAAUGGGGAGGCCAGACAAGAAGUCAGGACACAAUAAGCCAGGAACAGAGUGAAGAGGUUCAGAUGAGGCAUAAGCAUGUACCAUUCCUUGUCCCCUUCUUUUUUGGCCACACCCAGGGCAUGCAGAAGGGACAGGGAUUGAACAUACUACAGCUGUAACCUGAGCCAGAGCAGUGACAAUGCCAGGUCCUUAACCCACUGAGCCAUGAGAGGGAACUCCUACCAUUUCUCAUUCUUAAUCAUCCUCUAGCCUUUCAUCUGAGUUCCCUCCUUUUCUCUUUCAAACUGCCCAGUUCCCCCCAACUGGGGGCAUUUUAUCCUCAUCUGGUUCUAGCCUUCUUUUUUAAAUUAACUAUCUGGCAUUUAUAGCAUCUCUAGUCAGAUGUGUGGUAGCUUAAUGUGAGUAAAAUGUGUGUCCUUUAUGGUUCAUCUGGGUUUGUUUACAGGCAUUUUUGUCUGGCUCAUAAACUUAGUGGGGUCAACUUUACAUCUGCCACCACUACUACUGCUCUGUUCAACCUGACAGCCUUGCAGAGGUUUGCUUUCUCCACCCACUUCCGGGCCUCCGAUGCCUCCCAUCUUCCCCCAGUUCAAACGUCACCUCUUCCAUCAGCAUCUAGCCAAAUGUGACCCAAAUGUAUCCACAUUUAUAUUUUCACACAUAUAUGCUUCCUUGCCUCCUCCGCCAGAUUUCUGGAGCUUCUAGCCCCCAUCCAGACAUCAGGAGAGGAGGGGAUGAGGCCCAGUAGGAAAAGGUGGGAGGCUCUGAAUUCCAAACCCGACACAGCAGGUGUCCACCACUAGGUGGUAGUGGUGAUCAGGCAUCUUCGUGGGCUCUCCAUACCACAGCUUUCUUAUUUAAAUAGAGAUGUUAUCUGCUUUGCUUGGGAAAACAUAAUAAUAUGACCCCGGGCUAGAUGCAGAAGAACCCUGGAUUCAAAACAGUUACCUUUAGGGAAUAAUGGUGUGUCUUUAUCUUAUUUUUCUGGACCUCAACAUUCCUAUCAAUAAAAGGAGGAUGUUGGACUAGAUAGAGGUUCUC